AAGGUUGAGGUAGCUUUGGCACACCACAACAUGGCCAGGAGAUCUUGAAGCUUCACGAAUGAAUCCCAUGCCUUGAGCUUGUGGAUUGUUGUAGAUCAUUAAGCAUAAAUGCAUAUGAGAUGACAUGUAUGGGAUGUAUGCUUAUCUAUUAGGGUUUAAGAUGGUGAUGUGGAGGUAAGGUAAAUUUGAGGGUAUGACAAGUUGUGUCUUGAAUCCCUAUUUAUUUAUUGUUGAUGUUUAAUGCCUUACAUGAAUAGUCUCAUCACUAUAAUCC
rnacentral:lncRNA from 1 species